CACCCUGAUCAGCCAGCAGUCAUAAACAUUGAGUACCUUGAAAUGUUUGCAGCGAUGAUUACUUGAAGGUGAUGGAUUUUAUAUUAAUCAGAUAUGAUGCCUAGAGAACACAGAGACAAGUUGCCAUCUUGGAAGGAGAGAAACUGGGUCCUGACCUGAACCUACUGGCGCCUUGAUCUUGGACUUCUAGCU